rnacentral:rRNA from 1 species
UACGGGGGGGGUAAGCGUUGUUCGGAAUUACUGGGCGUAAAGGGCUCGUAGGCGGCCAACUAAGUCAGACGUGAAAUCCCUCAGCUUAACUGGGGAACUGCGCCUGAUACUGGAUGGCUUGGAUUCGGGAGAGGAAUGCGGAAUUCCAGGUGUAGCGGUGAAAUGCGUAGAUAUCUGGAGGAACACCGGUGGCGAAGGCGGCAUUCUGGACCGACAUUGACGCUGAGGAGCGAAAGCCAGGGGAGCAAACGGG